UGACGGAGCACGCCGCGUGAGUGAUGAAGGCUUUCGGGUCGUAAAACUCUGUUGUUAGGGAAGAACAAGUGCUAGUUGAAUAAGCUGGCACCUUGACGGUACCUAACCAGAAAGCCACGGCUAACUACGUGCCAGCAGCCGCGGUAAUACGUAGGUGGCAAGCGUUAUCCGGAAUUAUUGGGCGUAAAGCGCGCGCAGGUGGUUUCUUAAGUCUGAUGUGAAAGCCCACGGCUCAACCGUGGAGGGUCAUUGGAAACUGGGAGACUUGAGUGCAGAAGAGGAAAGUGGAAUUCCAUGUGUAGCGGUGAAAUGCGUAGAGAUAUGGAGGAACACCAGUGGCGAAGGCGACUUUCUGGUCUGUAACUGACACUGAGGCGCGAAAGCGUGGGGAGCAAACAGGAUUAGAUACCCUGGUAGUCCACGCCGUAAACGAUGAGUGCUAAGUGUUAGAGGGUUUCCGCCCUUUAGUGCUGAAGUUAACGCAUUAAGCACUCCGCCUGGGGAGUACGGCCGCAAGGCUGAAACUCAAAUUUUUUUGGGGGGGGGA
rnacentral:rRNA from 1 species